CGGCGUGCUUAACACAUGCAAGUCGAACGGAAAGGCCCUGCUUUUGUGGGGUGCUCGAGUGGCGAACGGGUGAGUAACACGUGAGUAACCUGCCCUUGACUUUGGGAUAACUUCAGGAAACUGGGGCUAAUACCGGAUAGGAGCUCCUGCUGCAUGGUGGGGGUUGGAAAGUUUCGGCGGUUGGGGAUGGACUCGCGGCUUAUCAGCUUGUUGGUGGGGUAGUGGCUUACCAAGGCUUUGACGGGUAGCCGGCCUGAGAGGGUGACCGGCCACAUUGGGACUGAGAUACGGCCCAGACUCCUACGGGAGGCAGCAGUGGGGAAUAUUGCACAAUGGGCGGAAGCCCGAUGCAGCAACGCCGCGUGCGGGAUGACGGCCUUCGGGUUGUAAACCGCUUUCGCCUGUGACGAAGCGUGAGUGACGGUAAUGGGUAAAGAAGCACCGGCUAACUACGUGCCAGCAGCCGCGGUGAUACGUAGGGUGCGAGCGUUGUCCGGAUUUAUUGGGCGUAAAGGGCUCGUAGGUGGUUGAUCGCGUCGGAAGUGUAAUCUUGGGGCUUAACCCUGAGCGUGCUUUCGAUACGGGUUGACUUGAGGAAGGUAGGGGAGAAUGGAAUUCCUGGUGGAGCGGUGGAAUGCGCAGAUAUCAGGAGGAACACCAGUGGCGAAGGCGGUUCUCUGGGCCUUUCCUGACGCUGAGGAGCGAAAGCGUGGGGAGCGAACAGGCUUAGAUACCCUGGUAGUCCACGCUGUAAACGGUGGGUACUAGGUGUGGGGUCCAUUCCACGGGUUCCGUGCCGUAGCUAACGCUUUAAGUACCCCGCCUGGGGAGUACGGCCGCAAGGCUAAAACUCAAAGGAAUUGACGGGGCCCCGCACAAGCGGCGGAGCAUGCGGAUUAAUUCGAUGCAACGCGUAGAACCUUACCUGGGUUUGACAUGGAUCGGGAGUGCUCAGAGAUGGGUGUGCCUCUUUUGGGGUCGGUUCACAGGUGGUGCAUGGCUGUCGUCAGCUCGUGUCGUGAGAUGUUGGGUUAAGUCCCGCAACGAGCGCAACCCUUGUUCACUGUUGCCAGCACGUUAUGGUGGGGACUCAGUGGAGACCGCCGGGGUCAACUCGGAGGAAGGUGGGGAUGACGUCAAGUCAUCAUGCCCCUUAUGUCCAGGGCUUCACGCAUGCUACAAUGGCUGGUACAGAGAGUGGCGAGCCUGUGAGGGUGAGCGAAUCUCGGAAAGCCGGUCUCAGUUCGGAUUGGGGUCUGCAACUCGACCUCAUGAAGUCGGAGUCGCUAGUAAUCGCAGAUCAGCAACGCUGCGGUGAAUACGUUCCCGGGGCUUGUACACACCGCCCGUCAAGUCAUGAAAGUUGGUAACACCCGAAGCCGGUGGCCUAACCGUUGUGGGGGAGCCGUCGAAGGUGGGACUGGUGAUUAGGCC
rnacentral:rRNA from 1 species